rnacentral:rRNA from 1 species
UACGUAGGGUGCGAGCGUUAAUCGGAAUUAUUGGGCGUAAAGGGCUCGUAGGCGGUUUGUCGCGUCGGGAGUGAAAACCCAGGGCUUAACCCUGGGCUGGCUUCCGAUACGGGCAGACUAGAGGUAUGCAGGGGAGAACGGAAUUCCUGGUGUAGCGGUGAAAUGCGCAGAUAUCAGGAGGAACACCGGUGGCGAAGGCGGUUCUCUGGGCCUGUACUGACGCUGAGGAACGAAAGCGUGGGGAGCGAACAGG